AUAUCGAAAAUAUACUUCAUGCUGUUUUUGCUUUUAAUGUGACACAGUAGUUCUGUUUGUUUUCUUUCCCAUUUCUGUGUAUGCUUAAAAUUUAUAAACAACGCAAACAUGAAUUAAGGGAUAUUCGUUUGUCUAUGUAUUUACGAACGAGUAAGUUUGAACGAUGGAACAUUCAACGGUUCAGAAGAGACCGCUAUCGAGCGAUUUGGACGAAAUCAUAUUUGGGCCCACUUUAUCGAGAAUUGAUAAAUCUAGCGAGUCCCACGAUAUUCACGUUGACAAACCUGAGUUCAAGAUAGGGCGUUCUAGAGAUAACGAUGAAAUCAUUUUGGAUACAUUGAUAUCAAGGAGGCACUGUAUUUUAACUUGUGAGGAAGACGAGGAAUGGGCCAUUACAGAUUGUAGUUCUUCAGUUACGUUCGUUAACAACGUUCCACUCACACCUGGUGUAAGUAAGAUACUCCACAAUGGUGACAUUGUACAGCUGAGCACGUCAGAGAAACAUACGUAUCUGUUCGCACUUCGUGAAAACCAGUGCAAGCCCAAGAAACCCAAGAUGAAUAACGAACUGUUGAUGUCAGACGUUUUCAUGAGACAAAAGACAUUUGCUGAGAAUCAAGAAUGUCAGAAGAAAGCUUUUACAGACAAAUUGCAAACGAAACAGAAGGAGCAAGAUGAAUUAAAACAACAGCUAGAAAUGCUUUUGAAGGAGCAGGAUGUUACGAAGAACUGUGCCGAGGAAUAUAAAAAUAAAAUUGCUGUAUUGGAAAAUCGAAUACAACAAGGAAACGUCCUGAUGCAACAUUUGAAUACGCUCUUUGCCGAAUUGUCAGAAAAGCUAGAGAAUGAAAGGCUUGAAUUUGAGAAAAAAUUGGAUGUCGAGAAACAGAAGUGGCAGCAAGCGUUACACGUGACUAAAUUGGAGAAGGAAAUGUUAGAACUAAAAAUGACUAGUCUUAUGGAAAAUAAAGUUAAGGAGGAGAAAGACAAGGCUCAACUGUUGAACGAAAAGAUAGUCUUGGAAAAAAGAUUACAAGAAACGGAAAAAGCUUUAAAAGAAAAGGAAGCUGUACAAGAAACGAUAGAAAAUAAUAUCGCAGGACCUUCUUACGCGGACCCCAAUGACAGUUGCAUACUGUUAGAAGUUGUAGAUAAUGCUCCACAAUACCGAAUUAUAGAUGAAAUAGAUCUGACAGAUGUUUCUCAACUUAUAACUGUCGAUGAUCAACAGGAGAAUAUAGUUAAUAAAAUUAGCAAUAUAAUGGAUGACCAGUUAACGUGUAGCAUAUGUUCAGAAUUAUUUGUGAAGGCAACGACAUUAGCUUGUAUGCACACAUACUGUCAGUACUGUAUAAAGUGUUGGAUGAAGAAAAAAAAGAUAUGUGCAGUAUGCAGAGCACCUAUAACGUCCAUGACCAGAUCAAUAGUCAUUGACAAUUUCAUCGACAGUAUGUUAGAAAAUUUACCUAUCCAAUUUAAAGAAAGAAGAAAAGAGAUUCUAAAAGAAAGAAAAGAAAUGGAGGGCAGGAAAAAAACUGUGUCGAAGAAAGCGAAGUAAUUUGAUUAAUUCUAAUAUAUUGUACUAAGAUUUUAUAAUUUAAUACAAAAGUGGAAACUGCAUUUACAUUGAAGGUGUUCAAAUCAAAUCAAAGAAGUAUGUACGGCUUAUUUUUGUUAUGAAUUGUUGUAAGAAAGAAAUAUAUAUCAUUAUUAUUUUUUUCAUUCUGAUGCGAUGCUCAAAGUGAAGAUUCGCUAAACAGUGUGAAGCAAUCCAAAACAAAUCUCGGCUUACCACUGUGUCAAGUGAGUCGGGAAUCGUUUUGGAAUAAACUGGUCGCGCGAGGGCGCGAGGAGACUCCAUGAAAAUCUGCCCGCAAUCCGGUACGUCGUAUCAGAGAGAAACUGAGAGUGCUCAGUUCUUUGUUCUCAAGUGAAACCGUAAAGAAAGAGCUGCACUUUGCGGCCAACUCGGGAAACAGGUCCACCAGGUAGCAUACUCCAGAACCUUUUUGCAGAGAUCUGCCCUGUUCGGUUCCACCGUAGCAGAGAUAAGAACCUCCAGGUCCACCGCAGCAUAGAUACAAUAUAGGCAGUAUCAGAGUUUCUGGCAAUAUUACGGAUGAGAUAUGCGAGUAGUUAU